CACAAUAAACAUAUGAAGGCUGCACCGCCAACAGGCGGCAAGGCUGGAGUAUUUUAUUACCCUUGUCUUUUGCGCACUUGUUGUUUCCUGGGCGGGUUCGCCCGCCUCCAGGACCACAUGAUAAACCUUUUUAUGCAGUUGCAAUCAGCGUCAGUACAACAAAUGUAAAUCAUUUA
rnacentral:misc_RNA from 1 species